CAGUAGCCGCGGUAAUACGAAGGGGGCUAGCGUUGUUCGGAAUUACUGGGCGUAAAGCGCACGCAGGCGGCUCGAUAAAUUAGAAGUGAAAGCCUUGGGCUUAACCUGAGAAUUGCUUUUAAGACUGUCGAGCUAGAAUCCAGAAGAGGGUAGUGGAAUUCCGAGUGUAGAGGUGAAAUUCGUAGAUAUUCGGAAGAACACCAGUGGCGAAGGCGACUACCUGGUCUGGCAUUGACGCUCAUGUGCGAAAGCGUGGGGAGCAAACAGGAUUAGAGACCCCUGUAGUCCCUGUCUCUUAUAC
rnacentral:rRNA from 1 species